rnacentral:rRNA from 1 species
UGAGUAACACGUAUCCAACCUGCCGUCUACUCUUGGCCAGCCUUCUGAAAGGAAGAUUAAUCCAGGAUGGCAUCAUGAGUUCACAUGUCCGCAUGAUUAAAGGUAUUUUCCGGUAGACGAUGGGGAUGCGUUCCAUUGGAUAGUAGGCGGGGUAACGGCCCACCUAGUCAACGAUGGAUAGGGGUUCUGAGAGGAAGGUCCCCCACAUUGGAACUGAGACACGGUCCAA